GCUCAGGAUGAACGCUGGCGGCGUGCUUAACACAUGCAAGUCGAACGAUGAAGCCCAGCUUGCUGGGUGGAUUAGUGGCGAACGGGUGAGUAACACGUGAGUAACCUGCCCUUAACUCUGGGAUAAGCCUGGGAAACUGGGUCUAAUACCGGAUAGGAGCGUCCACCGCAUGGUGGGUGUUGGAAAGAUUUAUCGGUUUUGGAUGGACUCGCGGCCUAUCAGCUUGUUGGUGAGGUAAUGGCUCACCAAGGCGACGACGGGUAGCCGGCCUGAGAGGGUGACCGGCCACACUGGGACUGAGACACGGCCCAGACUCCUACGGGAGGCAGCAGUGGGGAAUAUUGCACAAUGGGCGCAAGCCUGAUGCAGCGACGCCGCGUGAGGGAUGACGGCCUUCGGGUUGUAAACCUCUUUCAGUAGGGAAGAAGCGAAAGUGACGGUACCUGCAGAAGAAGCACCGGCUAACUACGUGCCAGCAGCCGCGGUAAUACGUAGGGUGCGAGCGUUAUCCGGAAUUAUUGGGCGUAAAGAGCUCGUAGGCGGUUUGUCGCGUCUGUCGUGAAAGUCCGGGGCUUAACCCCGGAUCUGCGGUGGGUACGGGCAGACUAGAGUGCAGUAGGGGAGACUGGAAUUCCUGGUGUAGCGGUGGAAUGCGCAGAUAUCAGGAGGAACACGAUGGCGAAGGCAGG
rnacentral:rRNA from 1 species